UGAUGAUGUACACCCCUGUACCCCUUGACAUCCAGUACCUCGCGUCUGCUCAACUUGAACACCUCCUCAUUGAUUUUGCUCGAGGAUGGUGCCCUUUAUGUGCAUGAACUGAUGGGUGUGUUCACAACGUAGAGCAGCGCUUCUCUGUCCAGUCUCAUGUCUUUCUCUUCAGCACGGAUCAGCGAGUACUACCGAGCAAAAAUGUCCUUAUCUUCGUUUGUUUCUUCCUUUUCCUUACUACUUUUGUGGCCCCAAAUCUCACGAUGGCUCUAUGCAUGUUCUUUUUGUUGACAUGAAUUUUACCAUGAAAAUUUCCUACUAA